rnacentral:rRNA from 1 species
UACGGAGGGGGUUAGCGUUGUUCGGAAUUACUGGGCGUAAAGCGUACGUAGGCGGAUCAGAAAGUUGGGGGUGAAAUCCCGGGCUCAACCCCGGAACUGCCUCCAAAACUCUGGUCUUGAGUUCGAGAGAGGUGAGUGGAAUUCCAAGUGUAGAGGUGAAAUUCGUAGAUAUUGGAGGAAACA